CGUGGGUAACCUGCCCAAUAGAUCGGGAUAACACCUGGAAACAGAUGCUAAUACCGGAUAACAACAGAUGAUGCCUAUCAACUGUUUAAAAGAUGGUUCUGCUAUCACUCUUGGAUGGACCUGCGGUGCAUUAGCUAGUUGGUAGGGUAACGGCCUACCAAGGCGAUGAUGCAUAGCCGAGUUGAGAGACUGAUCGGCCACAUUGGGACUGAGACACGGCCCAAACUCCUACGGGAGGCAGCAGCC
rnacentral:rRNA from 1 species